rnacentral:tRNA from 1 species
GGGGCCAUAGCUCAGUUGGGAGAGCGCGUCGCUUGCACCGACGAGGUCGCCGGUUCGAAUCCGGCUGGCUCCA